UGGCGCGCCUCCGUUAGAGGGGUUUCUUAUCCCAGACGCCAUUGUUCUGGCCUUCUCCGUGAAAUUUUAAUAGUCUGGAGUUGGAUUCACUUUGCACUCUGGCCAGUGUUUGCCGCAUCCUCUGCCCAAUUGGCUCUCAACCUCUUUCAACUCUCCUGUCUCUCGAUUUUCAUGUAAGAUAUCAUUUUUUUUUUGAAUAAUUUAUUCGCUCAAUUGCGUACUUUUAAAUAUCCAUUGUUAUUAAUCCGGUCGCCAUUUUGAUUUCAUUUGUGAAAUUCGACAACAUUUUUUUAUAUUCAAGAGAAUUGAUCACAUGACAGUUGUAAAUGCUUUGUGAAUGACUGGGUUUGUACAAGGGCCGAAUUGUUCUUUUCCAGAAUUCUGAACUCGGGUUCUAUUCAAUGUUUAUAUUUACACUUGUUUGAUUUUGGGUAAUUGUAGAGCUGCUAACUUGGUGGUGCCUAUAAGAUAUGUACAUAUUAUAUGUAUCUUAGUUACAAUCUGUAGGAAAUAUCGGUAAAAUUUCUAUCCCAUAGAACUGGUAUAGCUGAAAAUCGUAAUCUGUUUCACUCAACGAUAAGAACCCCAUAAUAGCAAGCUGAAAAUUGUGCCCCUUUGAAUUACCACAGGCCGCCUCGAGCUUUCGUUUGUAACUUCACACUCGUGAAUGGUCACGUAAGUUCCCAAGGGGUAGUCGUUGUUAUCUCAUUUUGUUUGAUGUUAAUUAAAGAAAAUAACAACUUAUUUGAAGCUUUGGAAUAGGUCAGCUUUGUGCAACUUGUACAUGGUUUUGAUUGAAACAAGAUUUUACAAUUUUGAAGGUAGUAGUAAUUAUCAUUUGAGAUUUGAGAUUCAUUUCCGCGAGGAUGAUGAACUUAGAACUCUGCGACCUAUUUUUCGGAAAAAAUAAAAAUUAUUUUGUUGUUGUUUUCUUCUAUGUGCUGAAAAUGAAUUUUGAGAUCUCCUCAAGAGAAUGUGUAGUGUUUUAUAUUAGCAUUGAAUUUUUCUUUCUUCAGGCUUCAAUGGAGCAAACUUUUUCUAAUGAAAGAUUCAUUCUAAUUUGUUUCGGGUAAUAUUUCCUUGAUUUUAUACGGAAAAAACUUCCAUAAUUACAAGUGCUACUGUAAAUUUCAAUUCUUGGACUUAUUUGUUUCCUAUCUAGAAACUUAAAUUCUUUGCCUGAAUUUGUUUCAGACUUGAUGACUUGUCCAUUGGCUUUGGUGCCCCCCCUGUUCAAGCACAUAUGAGAAUAGGCGGAGGUGUUACAAGUGCUACCGUAACAUCGUCUUUGCUAGAAACUGUAAGCUUUAAAAAAUUCCUGUAAACAUUAUAUUUACAAACGAGGUUACAUGUAUAAAAUAUUUUGUGCUAUCCAUUCGCCAAAAUAUAUUAUGCCGAAAAGAGUUCGCAUAUAUAUAUUUGCAUUUUGUAAGAUUUGAAGAAGAGCGGUACAAAA
rnacentral:lncRNA from 1 species